GUCCGAAGUCCUGGAUCAGCUCUUCAACACUUAUGACCGCCAGGAACAAGUUGACAUCAAUGUCCUCCGUGCUGCCGUCCUCCGUGCUCUCCCUACAUAUCUGCAUGAGGAUGACUCCGGAUUUCUGAAGCUGUGGGAUCAGGCCCUGUCAGAUGAACUGCAAAUCGACAACAUACCAG